GAAUGUUCUUUCUAUUUUGGUGAAGUCUUUCUCCUUAUUUCUACGUUUUGAUAUGCUACCUUACGCAGGAAAACGCUUUGGUUAACGCUUAUAACAUGAACAAAUGGACAAUGCUGUGCCGUGGAGUUGUUGCUGCUCGAAGCUUCGCCUCCUGUUUACGUUCAAGGAUUGUCUGCUCGCUCAAGGAAUCUUUUGGUUUCAUCGACAGAGCUGACAAAGUGAACGAGGUAAAGAAGUUGCAGUCUCAGUGGAGCGUCUACCAGAAGGUACAGUGAAAUUUGAUGAUGUGAGCAAAGACACAUUUCAAGGCACCAUCGAGAAAGUACAUUGU